rnacentral:rRNA from 1 species
GGAUAGAGGCCUACCAUGGUUUUAACGGGUAACGGGGAAUUAGGGUUCGAUUCCGGAGAGGGAGCCUGAGAAACGGCUACCACAUCCAAGGAAGGCAGCAGGCGCGCAAAUUACCCAAUCCCGACACGGGGAGGUAGUGACAAUAAAUAACAAUACGGGGCUCAUUUGGGUCUCGUAAUUGGAAUGAGUACAAUUUAAAUCUCUUAACGAGGAACAAUUGGAGGGCAAGUCUGGUGCCAGCAGCCGCGGUAAUUCCAGCUCCAAUAGCGUAUAUUAAAGUUGUUGCAGUUAAAAAGCUCGUAGUUGAACUUCGGGGUUUACCCAUUGGUCAGGCUUAAUUGUCUGUACUGGUGAGAUAAAUCUCUACCUUCUGAGGAACUUUCAUGUCAUUAAUUUGGUGUGAUUGGAAAUCAGGACUGUUACUUUGAAAAAAUUAGAGUGUUUAAAGCAGGCUAACGUCUGAAUACAUUAGCGUGGAAUAAUGAAAUAGGACGGAUUGAUUCUAUUUCGUUGGUUUCUAGGAUCACCGUAAUGAUUAAUAGGGAUAGUUGGGGGCAUUAGUAUUCAAUUGUCAGAGGUGAAAUUCUUGGAUUUAUUGAAGACUAACUACUGCGAAAGCAUUUGCCAAGGAUGUCUUCAUUAAUCAAGAACGAAAGUUAGGGGAUCGAAGACGAUCAGAUACCGUCGUAGUCUUAACCAUAAACUAUGCCGACUAGGGAUCGGACGAA